rnacentral:tRNA from 1 species
GACCCCAUCGUCUAGCGGCCCAGGACAUCAGCCUUUCACGCUGAAGACGGGGGUUCGACUCCCCCUGGGGUCACCA